UGGAUUAUGGCGAACGGGUGAGUAACACGUGAGUAACCUGCCCUUAACUCUGGGAUAAGCCUGGGAAACUGGGUCUAAUACCGGAUAGGAGCGNCCACCGCAUGGUGGGUGUUGGAAAGAUUUAUCGGUUUUGGAUGGACUCGCGGCCUAUCAGCUUGUUGGUGAGGUAAUGGCUCACCAAGGCGACGACGGGUAGCCGGCCUGAGAGGGUGACCGGCCACACUGGGACUGAGACACGGCCCAAACUCCUACGGGAGGCAGCAGUGGGGAAUAUUGCACAAUGGGCGAAAGCCUGAUGCAGCGACGCCGCGUGAGGGAUGACGGCCUUCGGGUUGUAAACCUCUUUCAGUAGGGAAGAAGCGAAAGUGACGGUACCUGCAGAAGAAGCACCGGCUAACUACGUGCCAGCAGCCGCGGUAAUACGUAGGGUGCGAGCGUUAUCCGGAAUUAUUGGGCGUAAAGAGCUCGUAGGCGGUUUGUCGCGUCUGUCGUGAAAGUCCGGGGCUUAAACCCCGGAUCUGCGGUGGGUACGGGCAGACUACAUUGCAGUAGGGGAGACUGGAAUUCCUGGUGUAGCGGUGGAAUGCGCAGAUAUCAGGAGGAACACCGAUGGCGAAGGCAGGUCUCUGGGCUGUAACUGACGCUGAGGAGCGAAAGCAUGGGGAGCGAACAGGAUUAGAUACCCUGGUAGUCCAUGCCGUAAACGUUGGGCACUAGGUGUGGGGACCAUUCCACGGUUUCCGCGCCGCAGCUAACGCAUUAAGUGCCCCGCCUGGGGAGUACGGCCGCAAGGCUAAAACUCAAAGGAAUUGACGGGGGCCCGCACAAGCGGCGGAGCAUGCGGAUUAAUUCGAUGCAACGCGAAGAACCUUACCAAGGCUUGACAUGUUCUCGAUCGCCGUAGAGAUACGGUUUCCCCUUUGGGGUGGGUUCACAGGUGGUGCAUGGUUGUCGUCAGCUCGUGUCGUGAGAUGUUGGGUUAAGUCCCGCAACGAGCGCAACCCUCGUUCCAUGUUGCCAGCACGUCGUGGUGGGGACUCAUGGGAGACUGCCGGGGUCAACUCGGAGGAAGGUGAGGACGACGUCAAAUCAUCAUGCCCCUUAUGUCUUGGGCUUCACGCAUGCUACAAUGGCCGGUACAAUGGGUUGCGAUACUGUGAGGUGGAGCUAAUCCCAAAAA
rnacentral:rRNA from 1 species